GUCGAGGGGCAGCGGGGAGGUAGCAAUACUUUCGCCGGCGACCGGCGCACGGGUGAGUAACACGUAUGGAACCUGCCCGUAGCAGGGGGAUAAGCGGAAGAAAUUCCGUCUAAUACCGCGUAAUAACUCCGAGAGGCAUCUCAUGGAGUUUAAAGGGUAACACCGGCUACGGAUGGCCAUGCGGCGCAUUAGCUAGUUGGCGGGGUAACGGCCCACCAAGGCGACGAUGCGUAGGGGUUCUGAGAGGAAGGUCCCCCACACUGGUACUGAGACACGGACCAGACUCAAACGGGAGGCAGCAGUGAGGAAUAUUGGUCAAUGGGCGCGAGCCUGAACCAGCCAAGUCGCGUGAGGGAAGACGGUCCUAUGGAUUGUAAACCUCUUUUGUCGGGGAGCAAAAGACGCCACGCGUGGCGUUCCGAGAGUACCCGAAGAAAAAGCAUCGGCUAACUCCGUGCCAGCAGCCGCGGUAAUACGGAGGAUGCGAGCGUUAUCCGGAUUUAUUGGGUUUAAAGGGUGCGCAGGCGGAAGAUCAAGUCAGCGGUAAAAUUGAGAGGCUCAACCUCUUCGAGCCGUUGAAACUGGUUUUCCUGAGUGAGCGAGAAGUAUGCGGAAUGCGUGGUGUAGCGGUGAAAUGCAUAGAUAUCACGCAGAACUCCGAUUGCGAAGGCAGCAUACCGGCGCUCAACUGACGCUCAUGCACGAAAGCGUGGGUAUCGAACAGGAUUAGAUACCCUGCUAGUCCACGCAGUAAACGAUGAAUGCUAAUUGUCCGGAGGGAUUGACCUCUGGGUGAUAC
rnacentral:rRNA from 1 species